rnacentral:rRNA from 1 species
GCCUAAUACAUGCAAGUCGAGCGGACAGAUGGGAGCUUGCUCCCUGAUGUUAGCGGCGGACGGGUGAGUAACACGUGGGUAACCUGCCUGUAAGACUGGGAUAACUCCGGGAAACCGGGGCUAAUACCGGAUGGUUGUUUGAACCGCAUGGUUCAAACAUAAAAGGUGGCUUCGGCUACCACUUACAGAUGGACCCGCGGCGCAUUAGCUAGUUGGUGAGGUAACGGCUCACCAAGGCAACGAUGCGUAGCCGACCUGAGAGGGUGAUCGGCCACACUGGGACUGAGACACGGCCCAGACUCCUACGGGAGGCAGCAGUAGGGAAUCUUCCGCAAUGGACGAAAGUCUGACGGAGCAACGCCGCGUGAGUGAUGAAGGUUUUCGGAUCGUAAAGCUCUGUUGUUAGGGAAGAACAAGUACCGUUCGAAUAGGGCGGUACCUUGACGGUACCUAACCAGAAAGCCACGGCUAACUACGUGCCAGCAGCCGCGGUAAUACGU